UCUGCUGCCCCAACGACGAUUAAUGCUCGCUCUCACUCUAUUAGAGUGAAAUGUGAAGGAACCCUGCCGUGUAUGCUAGCUGGCAUAGCCAAGAGCUACCCAAUUCGGCUCGUUCCUCUGCCAAAAGAUCAGUUUUCUGUUCUCGGUUAGCACACAGGAUGAUUCAAGAGUUCCCUAAUGUUUGUUUUCGGAGAGGCCUCCCUGCAGUCCCCUUCCCUCCCCACCAUGCCAAGUUUUGGUUGCAGUCCUUCGCUGCGGAUUUGGAGCUAGGCAAGCCAUCGGCUGCUGCUGGAAGAGCUGCAGCACGCGCUGCCUUUCAAGGGUGGCAAUGCCCUGAGACGUGGGGGCAUCCAAGUGCUAUGUAAGCCUGCAAAGAAGAAGAUGGUCUCUGAAAGAAGUGACAGAAGAGCCCCAGCUCCGACAGCGGUCCUACCAAGCGGCACUCACCUCCGGGCUGCACACACGCCACUGCUUCGCAGAGACAGCAUCUAAAGCAAGAGCACAGACACAGUGGGUACACAGAGGAGACAGCAGGAAGCUCUGUUUAGCAGCAGCCUGUGUCGUUUGUGUACGAGCUGAGCGGUGCAUACCAAUACGUGCUCCAACAAGAAGCUAGUGGACCAGCCCUCUGCGAAAAGCC